AUGGGCGGGGUUGGCAAGACAACCCUUGCCCGAUUGCUUUACAAUGACGAGAAGGUGAAAGUUCAUUUCACAUUUCAAGCUUGGGCUUGUGUUUCAGAAGAUUAUGAUGCUAUUAGGAUAACUAAAACUCUUCUUGAGUCAGUCACUUCAAAGCUUUGUAAUACGACAGAUUUGAAUUUGCUUCAAGUUGAACUAAGAGAACAACUGAGGGGAAGGAAAUUUUUAUUUGUAUUGGAUGACCUAUGGAAUGAGGAUUAUACUGAUUUGAAGUUCCUCCAAACUCCUUUUAUGUCAGGAGCAAGGGGAAGUAAAGUCAUCAUAACAACACGGAACAAAAAUAUAGCAUGUGUCAUGCAAAAUGUUCCUAUUCAAUACUUGGAACCACUGUCACAUGAGGACUGCUGGUUGUUACUUUCAAAACAUGCAUUUGGAAAUGAAAACUGUAGUGCACAUCCAAACUUGGAAGACAUUGGAAAGCAAAUUGCACUCAAGUGCAAAGGGUUGCCUUUAGCUGCACAAACACUUGGGGGUUUGUUACAUUGCAAUAUAGAUUUCGAGUACUGGAGUAGAAUACUAAAUGACAGUUUCUGGGACCAACCCUAUAAUACAACUAACAUUCUUCCGGCUCUAGGAUUGAGUUACCAUUAUCUUCCUGCUCAGUUGAAACGAUGCUUUGCUUAUUGUUCAAUUUUUCCAAAGGAUUAUGAGUUUGAAAAGGAAGAUAUAGUUCAAUUAUGGAUUGCAGAAGGUAUAAUUCCACAAGCUAAGAAUGGAAAAAGGAUAGAAGCAUUGGCUAGAAGAUACUUCGAUGAGUUGGUAUCACGAUCGUUGUUUCAAAAGUCAAGGAAAUUGAGCUUCAUUAUGCAUGAUCUCAUUAAUGACUUGGCUAUGUUCAUGUCUCAGGGGUUUUGCCUUAGGCUCGAAGAUGGGGUAUCUCGUGAAGUUAAAAGAGCUCGUCAUUUGUCAUAUGCUAGGGGAAAAUUUGAUGCUGCUCCAAGAUUUGAACCAUUAUAUGAGGCUAAAUGUUUGCGGACCUUCCUACCUACCUCUUUAAAUCCAUAUAGACAUGAAAGAUUUUUUGUAAGUAAAAAAGUUCUACAAGAUUUGUUGCCAUCACUACGAUGUUUACGGGUGUUAUCAUUGUCACAUUAUCAAAAUGUCACUGAGUUACCUGAUUCUAUUGCAAACCUCAUUCACUUGCGCUACUUGGAUCUUUCCCAUACCGCAAUUGAAAGGUUACCCGGGGUACUUUGCAAUCUCUACAACUUGCAAACAUUACUAUUGUCAAAUUGUUACUCUCUCUUUGAAUUGCCUGCAGACAUUAGAAAAUUGAUUAAUUUACAGAAAUUGAUGUUGGGAGGUUGUAGCUCUCUUAUUAAAUUGCCUGAAGGCAUGAAGGAGUUGAUUAAUUUGCAUCAUCUUGAUGUCAGUGGAACUAAAAUUGAAGAGAUGCCGGUGCAAAUGGGUAGACUGAAAAGUUUGAGAACAUUGACUGCGUUUGUUGUGGGCAAAUCUACUGGGUCAAGCAUAAGAGAACUGAGGGAGUUCCCGCAGAUUCGCGGAAAACUAUCAAUUUUGAAGCUACAAAAUGUAGUUGAUGCCAGGGAUGCACUGCAAGCCAAUAUGAAGCACAAGAAAGAUCUCAAGGAGUUAGUGUUUUCAUGGGGUGCAGAGGAUGCUAAUGAUUCCCAAAAGGAGAAAGAUAUACUCGACAAGCUCCAGCCUUGUGGGAAUUUGGAGAAAUUAACCAUCAGAUUCUAUGGUGGAACCAAUUUUCCGAAUUGGUUAGGAGACUUGUCUUUUUCUAACAUACAAGUCGUGCAUCUCAGUGACUGUAGUUAUUGUUGGUCGCUCCCACCAGUUGGGCGGCUACCGGCACUCAAAGAGCUCUGUAUAGAAAGAAUGAAGUUUGUGAAGACGAUUGGCGUUGAAUUCUAUGGCAGAAAUGGAGCUUAUCUGACUCAGCCAUUUCAAUCUCUGGAGAAGCUGAAGUUUGGGGAGAUGCCAGAGUGGGAGGAAUGGGUACCAAGUGGAAGUGCAAGUGGAGGUGAAUAUGGUCCAGACUUUCCUCAUCUCCAGGAACUGAUUCUAAACAAUUGUCCGAAACUGAGAGGAAGUUUGCCUUGUGAGCUGCCUUGCUUGAAGAAGUUUACGGUGUCUGGGUGUGUGGUUUUACAUGAUGGAAGGGCCACUACCACAACUACCAAUAGUCUUAACUAUAAAUCUCUUGAAGAAUUGAAAAUAGAAGACAAAGCUCUGUUAUCAUUAUUAGAGACAAAGCUCCUGUCCCGACUUGAGAUUGAAAAUGUUGUUGACGUACAGUGCUUGCCCUACUACAAUCGUCUUCAAAGUUUGACUCUUUCGAAUUGUCCAACGCUGUCGUCGUUUCCUAAAGAUGGCCUACCCAGUACGUUGACAUCACUUAAUAUAAACAAUUGUAGGAAAUUAGUAUUCCUACCUCAUGAGAUGUUGGCCAAAUUAACAUCGCUUGACACUCUGCGUAUAUAUCAAAGCUGUGAUUCAAUGAGGUCCUUCCCGUUGGGCAGUUUUCCCAAAUUGACGGCUCUUAGCAUUUGGGAUUGUGAGAAUCUGGAAUCCCUUUCCAUGAUUGAAGAAGAAGGAGCUGUUGAGAAUCUCAGCCAUCUCAAUGACUUGCAAGUCUAUAAAUGUCCAAAAAUGGUGUGUUUUCACGAGGGAGAAUUGCCCACUCCCAACCUGAUUCGGUUUGAAGUCGGUGAAUGCGAGAAUUUGAAGUUCUUGCCCAAACGCCUUCAUGCCCUCACAGCCCUUCGAGGUUUGCAUAUACAGAGUCUUCGGAAUCUGGAGUCAUUUGCAGAAGAUGGGGGUUUGCCUCCCAACCUCCGAUAUUUUGGGAUUGUGAAUUGUGAGCGACUGAGGGCUUCAUCAGUGGGAGAGUACUGGGGUUUGCAAGCACUUGUCUCCCUUGAAAAAUUUCGUAUCAGUGGAAGUGACCAUGUCUUGGAGACGUUGCUCAAAGAACAGGUGCUCCCUACCACUCUUCACACUCUCCGCAUCUAUUCUCUAUCAACUCUGAAAUCUUUGGAUGGAAAGGGUCUUGGACACCUCAAUUCUCUUCAAGUGCUAGAAAUUGACAGCUGUCCAAGUCUGGAAUUCCUGCCAGGAGAGGAACUUCAACACCUCUCUUCUCUUCAGAAUCUAUACAUUUGGAACUGUCCCAGUCUCCAAUGCCUGCCAGUAGAGGGUUUGCCGCCAUCUCUUUCUUAUCUGCGUAUCCUCUUUUGUCCUGCCCUGGAGAAAAGGUAUAAUAAUAAGACGGGACAAGAUUGGGCCAAGAUAUCUCACAUUCCUUGCAUCGAGAUAGGCAACGAAGUGAUCAUAUAAUAUGAGGUAUUCCAUAGUACACUCUCAAGCCUCAACUCUCAAAUCAAAGUCAGAGUUACUUCAGCCGAGUUCAUCGACUUAUUUCGGCAGAAGAAACUCGACGAACCACUGCUCGUGAACCUGAAGACGACACUGUUGCCUUUGUUGGCAGUGCUUCAUGAUGCAGAGGAGAAGCAAACUGUGAACCCUGCUGUGAGAGAGUGCCUUAAAGAUCUCAAGCAUGCUGUCUUUGAUGCAGAGGACUUACUGGAUGAGAUUGACACUGAAGCUUUGCGAUGCAAGCUGGAAGGAUCAGACUAAGCAGGUUCAUACAUUGCAUGCGUCACGUCGUCAGCAUUUCAGAUUGAAAAUGGACCUUGAAUUGUCUUAUGAGCCAAUAGAUUUUUCGAGAUAUCUUAAGCACAGCGGAAAAUUAACGGAUUGAUCUGCACAGAGUCUUAAACAUGGUUCUGUUGGAUGCUGGAAGUGCCUCUUAUUGUCUGUACUUAAUGAUGACAGAAAAGAAAGAGGAGAAGAAUUUCAGAAAUAUCAGAGAAAGAUAAACGGAGAAGACUAGAGAAUUUCUGAGUUUUGAUUUCAAUCAACUGACUCUUACAAAGCAUAGCCCACUCUUAUGUAAACAGAUCACAGAGGGGCAUAACAGACUAACCACACAGCUUAGCUGUCUAACUAAUACACGUGCUAAGUACCAGACUUGUAACAAACUUAUUGACUUGCUAAUCAUAGUUAACAUACUAACCAUAGUUAACAUUUUCCCGACUUAGGUAACUCUCUUAACCUAAG